CAGCGCCACGAGUGGUGACCACGUUUAUUGGGCCUAAAGCGUCCGUAGCCGGUUUGGUAAAUCUUCUGUGAAAUUGUGCGGCUUAACCGUACAACGUGCAAGAGACACUGCCAGACUUGAGACCGGGAGGAGUCAGAAGUAUUCCAGGGGGAGCGGUAAAAUGUUAUAAUCCCUGGAGGACUACCUGUGGCGAAGGCGUCUGACCAGAACGGAUCUGACGGUGAGGGACGAAAGCCAGGGGAGCGAACCGGAUUAGAUACCCGAGUAGUCC
rnacentral:rRNA from 1 species